GGCUGAAAUUGCCUUCAUGAAGCCGGAAUUGCUAGUAAUGGCAGGUCAGCAUACUGCCGUGAAUACGUUCCCGGGCCUUGUACACACCGCCCGUCACACCAUGAGAGUUGGGAAUACCCGAAGCCUGUGAGCUAACUUUACGAGGCAGCAGUCGAAGGUAGAAUCAAUGAUUGGGGUGAAGUCGUAACAAGGUAUC
rnacentral:rRNA from 1 species